rnacentral:rRNA from 1 species
UACGUGGGGGGCAAGCGUUGUUCGGAAUUACUGGGCGUAAAGAGCUUGUAGGCGGUUUGUCGCGUCUGCUGUGAAAUUUCGGGGCUCAACCCCGAACUUGCAGUGGGUACGGGCAGGCUAGAGUGUGGUAGGGGAGACUGGAAUUCCUGGUGUAGCGGUGAAAUGCGCAGAUAUCAGGAGGAACACCGAUGGCGAAGGCAGGUCUCUGGGCCACUACUGACGCUGAGAAGCGAAAGCAUGGGGAGCGAACAGG